rnacentral:rRNA from 1 species
GACGAACGCUGGCGGCGUGCUUAACACAUGCAAGUCGAACGGAAAGGCCCUGCUUUUUUGGUGUGCUCGAGUGGCGAACGGGUGAGUAACACGUGAGUAACCUGCCCUUGACUUUGGGAUAACUUCAGGAAACUGGGGCUAAUACCGGAUAGGAGCUCCUGCUGCAUGGUGGGGGUUGGAAAGUUUCGGCGGGUGGGGAUGGACUCGCGGCUUAUCAGCUUGUUGGUGGGGUAGGGGCUUACCAAGGCUUUGACGGGUAGCCGGCCUGAGAGGGUGACCGGCGACAUGGGGACUGAGAGACGGCGCAGACGCCUACGGUAGGCAGCAGUCGCGAAUAUUGCACAAUGGGAGGAAGCCUGAUGAAGCAACGCUGCGUGUGGGAUGACGGCCUUCGGGUUGUAAACCGCUUUAGCCUGUGACGAAGCGUGAGUGACGGUAAUGGGUAAAGAAGCACCGGCUAACUACGUG